UACGUAGGUGGCAAGCGUUGUCCGGAUUUAUUGGGCGUAAAGCGAGCGCAGGCGGUCUUUUAAGUCUGAUGUGAAAGCCCCCGGCUUAACCGGGGAGGGUCAUUGGAAACUGGGAGACUUGAGUGCAGAAGAGGAAAGCGGAAUUCCAUGUGUAGCGGUGAAAUGCGUAGAUAUAUGGAGGAACACCAGUGGCGAAGGCGGCUUUCUGGUCUGUAACUGACGCUGAGGCUCGAAAGCGUGGGGAGCAAACAGGAUUAGAUACCCUGGUAGUCCACGCCGUAAACGAUGAGUGAGAAGUGUUGGAGGGUUUCCGACAUUCAGUGCUGCAGCAAACGCAUUAAGCAAUCCGCCUGGGGAGUACGACCGCAAGGUUGAA
rnacentral:rRNA from 1 species